rnacentral:lncRNA from 1 species
UAUAUUUUCCCAUCUCUUAAUAUUUAGAAGAAAGUAUGCAGUAUAACCUCAAUAAACAUUACAUUGAACUAUGUUAAUUUACACAUAAUGAUUGUGUGCAUAUGUAUAUUCACUUAAACAAACAUUUGCACACAGUAAUAACAAUGCCCAGGAAUAGCUGAGCAAUCACAGGUUUGGCAAGUUCCUAAGAUGUUCGGCCCUUCUUUCAUCAUGCUUUUAUUGUUAGCAUUUAUUUCAGAAACAAAUCUAUUUUCUGCUGAGGACACCACCAGAAAUAGUUCCAUUUUCUCGUAUGCAGUGGAAGCGGGAAUAGUUUCAGUAAAAACAAAACAUGGCAGAACGACACAACUCCAAUGUUGCAGUUCACCUCGGUGUCUCAAGUUGUGUGGAUCCAGUAUUUCUGACUAAAGUGUGUGGACCAGUGGAGAACAAGCAGACAAGUAGGAAUGGCUGUAGUUAUAAGCAGGCAUGAAUCCAAGUACUUAAACGACAAAACGAAGAGUAUCAAAACCCAAGUGAGAAAGAUCAGAAAUAAUGUUAUGAAUAUAAUAUAGACCCCUCACGUAAGGUGACAUUACAGCUACAUAAACCCUUCAAAAUGGGCAUUUCAUAUGCUAACCUGCUGAAAAUCACAGCUUAAUGCCCUUUAGAGCACAAGUUGUUUCCCCUUGUAAUCAAAGAGCUGACCUGGAGCUGAACCAACGUUGCUUAACUUAAGAUUAAGUUUAUAUCAUACUGCAUGUUGCGCACUCAAGAAUAUAUCAAAAUUCAAAAUUGAUUUAUAGUUUCUACUGAUUGCUUAUUGCGUUUUCAUCAUUGUAACAAAGUUAGAAAACCCUAAGUAGGGGCCAGGGAUUUAGCUCAGUGGUUCCGUUGCCUUUCUUGAAAGUGCAAGGUCCUGAGUUCGAUCCCCAGUAACAAAACAAAAAGCAAAAAACAAAAGA